GAUGAACGCUGGCGGCGUGCUUAACACAUGCAAGUCGAACGGAAAGGCCCAAGCUUGCUUGGGUACUCGAGUGGCGAACGGGUGAGUAACACGUGGGUGAUCUGCCCUGCACUUCGGGAUAAGCCUGGGAAACUGGGUCUAAUACCGGAUAGGACCACUUCUUGGAUGUUGUGGUGGAAAGUUUUUUCGGUGUGGGAUGAGCUCGCGGCCUAUCAGCUUGUUGGUGGGGUAAUGGCCUACCAAGGCGUCGACGGGUAGCCGGCCUGAGAGGGUGUACGGCCACAUUGGGACUGAGAUACGGCCCAGACGCCUACGGGAGGCAGCAGUGGGGAAUAUUGCACAAUGGGCGCAAGCCUGAUGCAGCGACGCCGCGUGGGGGAUGACGGCCUUCGGGUUGGAAACUCCUUUCGCUAGGGACGAAGCGUUUUGUGACGGUACCUGGAGAAGAAGCACCGGCUAACUACGUG
rnacentral:rRNA from 1 species